CUGCCUCAAGGAUUGGGAUAACUCCGAGAAAUCGGAGCUAAUACCGGAUAGUUCAUCGGACCGCAUGGUCCGCUGAUGAAAGGCGCUUCGGCGUCACCUUGAGAUGGCCUUGCGGUGCAUUAGCUAGUUGGUGGGGUAACGGCCCACCAAGGCGACGAUGCAUAGCCGACCUGAGAGGGUGAUCGGCCACACUGGGACUGAGACACGGCCCAGACUCCUACGGGAGGCAGCAGUAGGGAAUCUUCCACAAUGGACGAAAGUCUGAUGGAGCAACGCCGCGUGAGUGAUGAAGGUUUUCGGAUCGUAAAACUCUGUUGUAAGGGAAGAACACGUACGAGAGGAAAUGCUCGUACCUUGACGGUACCUUACGAGAAAGCCACGGCUAACUACGUGCCAGCAGCCGCGGUAAUACGUAGGUGGCAAGCGUUGUCCGGAAUUAUUGGGCGUAAAGCGCGCGCAGGCGGCCUUUUAAGUCUGAUGUGAAAGCCCCCGGCUCAACCGGGGAGGGCCAUUGGAAACUGGAAGGCUUGAGUACAGAAGAGAAGAGUGGAAUUCCACGUGUAGCGGUGAAAUGCGUAGAGAUGUGGAGGAACACCAGUGGCGAAGGCGACUCUUUGGUCUGUAACUGACGCUGAGC
rnacentral:rRNA from 1 species